GAUACGCUGGCGGCGUGCUUACACUGCAGUUCCAACGAACCUUCGGGUUAGUGGCGGACGGGUGAGUAACGCGUGAGAAUCUGCCCUCAGGAGGGGGAUAACGGCUGGAAACGGCCGCUAAUACCCCAUAUGCCGCGAGGUGAAAUGAAUUUCGCCUGAGGAUGAGCUCGCGUCUGAUUAGCUAGUUGGUGGGGUAAGAGCCUACCAAGGCAUCGAUCAGUAGCUGGUCUGAGAGGAUGAUCAGCCACACUGGGACUGAGACACGGCCCAGACUCCUACGGGAGGCAGCAGUGGGGAAUUUUCCGCAAUGGGCGAAAGCCUGACGGAGCAACGCCGCGUGAGGGAUGAAGGCCUCUGGGCUGUAAACCUCUUUUAUCAAGGAAGAAGAUCUGACGGUACUUGAUGAAUAAGCCACGGCUAAUUCCGUGCCAGCAGCCGCGGUAAUACGGGAGUGGCAAGCGUUAUCCGGAAUUAUUGGGCGUAAAGCGUCCGCAGGCGGUCUUGUAAGUCUGUUGUUAAAGCGUGGAGCUUAACUCCAUUUGAGCAAUGGAAACUGUAAGACUAGAGUGUGGUAGGGGCAGAGGGAAUUCCCGGUGUA
rnacentral:rRNA from 1 species